rnacentral:rRNA from 1 species
CCUACGGGUGGCUGCAGUGGGGAAUAUUGGACAAUGGGCGAAAGCCUGAUCCAGCCAUGCCGCGUGUGUGAAGAAGGCCUUCGGGUUGUAAAGCACUUUCAGUGGGGAAGAAAGCCUUGGGGCUAAUACCCUCGAGGAAGGACAUCACCCACAGAAGAAGCACCGGCUAACUCCGUGCCAGCAGCCGCGGUAAACGGAGGGUGCGAGCGUUAAUCGGAAUUACUGGGCGUAAAGCGCGCGUAGGCGGUCUGAUAAGCCGGUUGUGAAAGCCCCGGGCUCAACCUGGGAACGGCAUCCGGAACUGUCAGGCUAGAGUGCAGGAGAGGAAGGUAGAAUUCCCGGUGUAGCGGUGAAAUGCGUAGAGAUCGGGAGGAAUACCAGUGGCGAAGGCGGCCUUCUGGACUGACACUGACGCUGAGGUGCGAAAGCGUGGGUAGCAAACAGGAUUAGAUACCCGAGUAGUC